rnacentral:rRNA from 1 species
AACGAACGCUGGCGGCAUGCCUAACACAUGCAAGUCGAACGAGACCUUCGGGUCUAGUGGCGCACGGGUGCGUAACGCGUGGGAACCUGCCCUUAGGUUCGGAAUAACUCCCCGAAAGGGGUGCUAAUACCGGAUAAUGUCUUCGGACCAAAGAUUUAUCGCGUUUGGAUGGGCCCGCGUUGGAUUAGCUAGUUGGUAGGGUAAAAGCCUACCACGGCGACGAUCGAUAGCUGGUCUGAGAGGAUGAUCAGCCACACUGGGACUGAGACACGGCCCAGACUCCUACGGGAGGCAGCAGAGGGGAAUAUUGGACAAUGGGCGAAAGCCUGAUCCAGCAAGGCCGCGUGAGUGAUGAAGGCCUUAGGGUAGUAAAGCUCUUUUACCCGGGAUGAUAAUGACAGUACCGGGAGAAUAAGCACCGGCUAACUCCGUG